UCAUAAAUUGAUUUCUUUGGAGAAUCAAACGGAUGUUGUAAACAGAAAAGACAGCUACAAUCACACAUCCUACAUCCGCAAUUAUUUGUUCCAACAAUAUACUUGUCUGAAGGAUGACCUACUUUGCAGCAAUCUUUAGAACCACACACUCUUGAUGCAAGUCCUUGCCUAGCUGCGACAGAUGGAGGGAGAGCUUCCAAUACAUUUUUUGCGUUCAUUAAAACGUAUCUUCCAUUUGAGCUAAAAUCUAUUUUUUUGAUCCAAUCUCCUAAUGCCACUUUUAUAAUUUCCAUUUGAGUUGUGAUUGCAGCAAAUUUAUCUCCUCUACCAGUGAUUUUUAAGAGUAUUCUAUCCAUUUCUUGCAAUUUUUUGAAUAAUUGAAAUGAUAAAUUCAACAAUUCCUCUUCGAGCUUCAGUAUUUCGUUUAAAACUUCCUCUGCCUCUUGUAUCAAAAACAAUGCUUCUGAAGCUUCCAACUCUCCGUCUUUACUUUGAUCUCCUUCUGUGACAGAUUCCGUCCUUGGAGCAGUUGGAGAAGCGCCACGGCUUCUGGAUCUACUGCGUCUACUUCUAGAUUUGCCUUUUAGAUGCGAAGUAUCUUGCAAACUCGCAAAUGUGCCUCUACUUUGUGAAUGGGAGCGCAGAGAGGAACCAACUUGAGAUAUUGAAGAAACAUGCGGUCUUGGAGAAGGUGAACGCGAAGAGGAACCAAUUUGCACUCCUGAAGAAGUACAUGGCCUUGGAGAAGAUGAACGUGAAGAGGAACCAGUUUGUGCUCUUAAAGAAGUACAUGGCUUCGGAGAACGCGAACGCGAUCUUCUUGAACUACGACUAUUGUUAUUUUUUGAUGUAACAGCUUUAGUUUUUACCUUCUGCUUUGCUCCUCCUUUUGGAUCUAAUUUAAGAAGUUCUGCAGGCUGUACAAAAGCAGCUUGAGGUUGGGGACCAUCGGGACGGCUUUGUAAAUGUUUUUUUUUUGAAGUAUGUUUUUUAUGAGUAGAAUUUUUUCCUCUACUGCUUCCUUCAUCAGCAUUGGAUGCUUCUAACUUAGUUAUACUAG
rnacentral:antisense_RNA from 1 species